GAUGAACGCUGGCGGCGUGCCUAAUACAUGCAAGUCGAGCGAACAGACGAGGAGCUUGCUCCUCUGACGUUAGCGGCGGACGGGUGAGUAACACGUGGAUAACCUACCUAUAAGACUGGGAUAACUUCGGGAAACCGGAGCUAAUACCGGAUAAUAUAUUGAACCGCAUGGUUCAAUAGUGAAAGACGGUUUUGCUGUCACUUAUAGAUGGAUCCGCGCCGCAUUAGCUAGUUGGUAAGGUAACGGCUUACCAAGGCAACGAUGCGUAGCCGACCUGAGAGGGUGAUCGGCCACACUGGAACUGAGACACGGUCCAGACUCCUACGGGAGGCAGCAGUAGGGAAUCAUCCGCAAUGGGCGAAAGCCUGACGGAGCAACGCCGCGUGAGUGAUGAAGGUCUUCGGAUCGUAAAACUCUGUUAUUAGGGAAGAACAAAUGUGUAAGUAACUAUGCACGUCUUGACGGUACCUAAUCAGAAAGCCACGGCUAACUACGUG
rnacentral:rRNA from 1 species